rnacentral:rRNA from 1 species
GAUGAACGCUAGCGGCAGGCCUAAUACAUGCAAGUCGAGGGGUAACAGGAGAGCUUGCUUUUGCUGACGACCGGCGCACGGGUGCGUAACGCGUAUGCGACCUACCUAUAACAGAGGGAUAGCCUAGAGAAAUUUGGAUUAAUACCUCAUAGUACUAUAAAGCUGCAUGGUUUAAUAGUUAAAGAUUUAUCGGUUAUAGAUGGGCAUGCGUAUGAUUAGCUAGUUGGUAGUGUAAUAGACUACCAAGGCGACGAUCAUUAGGGGUUCUGAGAGGAAGAUCCCCCACACUGGCACUGAGAUACGGGCCAGACUCCUACGGGAGGCAGCAGUAGGGAAUAUUGGUCAAUGGGGGCAACCCUGAACCAGCCAUGCCGCGUGCAGGAAGAAUGCCUUCUGGGUUGUAAACUGCUUUUAUAUGCGAGGAAUAUUCUCAUGUAUGGGAUAAAUGACGUUAGCAUACGAAUAAGGACCGGCUAACUCCG